AUGUACCACUUGUACAUUGCGUUCCUCCGCGCCGUCCGCACACACCUGGCGGCGGCGCAGUAGUUUUGUUAGCU
rnacentral:sRNA from 1 species